rnacentral:misc_RNA from 1 species
GAUGAAGAACGUAGCGAAAUGCGAUAAGUAGUGUGAAUUGCAGAAUUCAGUGAAUCAUCGAAUCUUUGAACGCACAUUGCGCCCCUUGGUAUUCCAUGGGGCAUGCCUGUUCGAGCGUCAUUUGUACCUUCAAGCUUUGCUUGGUGUUGGGUGUUUGUCUCGCCUUUGCGUGUAGACUCGCCUUAAAAUAACUGGCAGCCGGCGUAUUGAUUUCGGAGCGCAGUACAUCUCGCGCUUUGCACUCAUAACGACAGCGUCCAAAAGUACAUUUUACACUCUUGACCUCGGAUCAGGUAGGGAUACCCGCUGAACUUAAGCAUAUCAAUAAGCGGAGGA